rnacentral:rRNA from 1 species
UACAGAGGGUGCAAGCGUUGUUCGGAAUUAUUGGGCGUAAAGGGUGCGUAGGUGGCGCGCUAAGUCAGGUGUGAAAUUUCGGAGCUUAACUCCGAAACUGCAUUUGAUACUGGCGUGCUUGAGGACUGGAGAGGAGACUGGAAUUCACGGUGUAGCAGUGAAAUGCGUAGAUAUCGUGAGGAAGACCAGUGGCGAAGGCGGGGUCUCUGGACAGUUCCUGACACUUGAGGCACGAAGGCCAGGGGAGCAAACGGGG